rnacentral:rRNA from 1 species
AUUACUUUUGCAUGUUUCAUUAUACUUCCUUUUGCAUCAGGAUUAAUCAAAAAUAAGAAAAAUUUCUACAAAAGAAAAAUAUCGACCUAAAAAAACAUUAUAAAUAUAUUACAUAGAUCAAUAAUGUUUUUUUAUUCGUUACAUGCAUUAUGCUAUUAGAUACCUUUUUAUUCUUCUCUUUACGGAUAAACAUAAAUGAAAAACUUUUUAUUUAUAUUUUAACUUAGACUAACAGUAGGAUUAGAAGUAACCAAACUAACUUUUUGUAGUAAAACAUUACAUUAUUAAAUAAUUAAUUAUUUGACACUUGUUUUAAAUAAAUUGAUUUAAAAUUACAAUGACUAAGUAAGUACAUAAUCUAAAAAUCUUUAAUUAAAAUUCAGCACAUAAUAUACUACUGUUUAAUAAAAACAUUGUAAUAUAUUUAUAUUAUAAUUCUCCUGCCCAAUGAUUUAUAUUAAAUGGCCGCAGUAACCUGACUGUGCUAAGGUAGCAUAAUCAUUUGUUUAAUAAAUUUAAACUAGAAUGAAAGGAAAAAAGUAUAUUAACUGUUAAUUACAAAUUUUUUGAAAUCCUUUUUAAAGUGCAAAAACUUUAAUUAGUAACAUAAACGAGAAGACCCUAAAAAUUUUAAUCUAUUUUAUUGGGACAAUACUAUUAUAUAAUUAUUAUAUGUCAAACAUUAACUAUGCUAAUUAAUCAAAUAAAAUUACUUUAGGGAUAACAGCAUAAUAACUAUAAAGAGACCUAAUCUAAAUAGUUGCUUGUGACCUCGAUGUUGAAUCAUUUUAACAAAACUUGCAAAAGAGUUUUACCUAUCGUCUGUUCGACGAUUCUACAUUACGUGAUUUGAGUUUAAACCGUUGAAAAACAGGUUGGAUUCUCUUUUGUUACUUUAAAUCUCAUUUAAAUUCAGUACGAAAGGACAAAUUUAAUAAAUCCGUCUAUCUAUAAAACAUGAUAAAAUUUCGAUAUAUUAUAGUAAUACUAUUUGGCGUGAGAAUUCU